GCCGGAGGGCAGUCCCCGACCACAGCAACUGACCUGGUCCGGUGACCGGCGCUGGCCCACGACGAUGGAAAAAACUAAAACAAAAAUGGGGAAAACAGGAGAUCUGAAAAUCAACGGUUUCAAGGAUUUUUUUGGCAAAUAAUUUGGCACAAACUCCAGCUUAAAUUCUAUACAAGAUCGAGGGAAGGAUAAUUAGAGAAAUUUAUCUAGUCUUUGAAGGGGAUUGAUCUGAUUUCCAGCGGAAAAAAUGAGAUUAUUCAACCGAUAAAUACGGUG
rnacentral:lncRNA from 1 species